CAUACCUAUUCGAAGGGAUAGGGUCGGUUUGGCCGGAUUUCACACAGGUGUUGCAUGGCUGUCGUCAGCUCGUGUCAUGAGAUGUUGGGUUAAGUCCCGCAACGAGCGCAACCCUCAUCCUUAGUUACCAUCAGGUUAUGCUGGGGACUUUAAGGAAACUGCCAGUGAUAAACUGGAGGAAGGUGGGGAUGAUGUCAAGUCAUCAUGGCCCUUAUGGAGUGGGCUACAUACGUGCUACAAUGGUGAUUACAAUGGGCUGCAAGGUCGCAAGGCUGAGCUAAUCCUAAAAAAUCAUCUCAGUUCGGAUUGUUCUCUGCAACUCGAGAGCAUGAAGUUGGAAUCGCUAGUAAUCGUGGAUCAGCAUGCCACGGUGAAUACGUUCUCGGGUCUUGUACACACUGCCCGUCACGCCAUGGGAAUUGGUUUCACUCGAAGCU
rnacentral:rRNA from 1 species